ACAUAUCGAAGAGGUUGCAACCAACAUGAGUGGCUGAUGGAGUUCCUGCAAGAACGCAGAAAUCAGUUAAAAGGGGCGGUUGCCGAAGCGCUAGUCAAUGCAGUGGCUGGUUAGCUGGGACGUGAUUGAAUAAGUCACGGACUGUCGCGAGCAAAUAGCGCUCGCGGGGCGCUUUCGACACAA
rnacentral:ncRNA from 2 species